rnacentral:tRNA from 1 species
GGGUCGGUUCCAGAGUGGUUAAAUGGGACGGACUGUAAAUCCGUUAGCUUCGCUUUCGCUGGUUCGAAUCCAGCCCGGCCCACCA